rnacentral:rRNA from 1 species
GGUUACCUUGUUACGACUUCACCCCAGUCAUGAAUCACACCGUGGUGACCGUCCUCCUAAGUUAGACUAGCCACUUCUGGUGCAACCCACUCCCAUGGUGUGACGGGCGGUGUGUACAAGGCCCGGGAACGUAUUCACCCGUGACAUUCUGAAUUCACGAUUACUAGCGAAUUCCAACUUCCAUGGGGUCAAUUGGCAAACCCCAUCCCGGAACC